rnacentral:rRNA from 1 species
UACGUAGGGGGCAAGCGUUGUCCGGAUUUAUUGGGCGUAAAGAGCGUGUAGGCGGCUUUACAGGUCCGUUGUGAAAACUCGAGGCUCAACCUCGAGACGUCGGUUGAAACCGUAUGGCUAGAGUCCGGAAGAGGAGAGUGGAAUUCCCGGUGUAGCGGUGAAAUGCGCAGAUAUCGGGAAGAACACCCGUGGCGAAGGCGGCUCUCUGGGACGGUACUGACGCUGAGACGCGAAAGCGUGGGGAGCGAACAGG